rnacentral:rRNA from 1 species
UACGGGGGAAGCAAGCGUUGUUCGGAUUUACUGGGCGUAAAGGGCGCGUAGGCGGCCAGCACAAGUCAGUUGUGAAAUCUCCGAGCUUAACUCGGAACGGUCAACUGAUACUGUGCGGCUAGAGUGCAGAAGGGGCAACUGGAAUUCUUGGUGUAGCGGUGAAAUGCGUAGAUAUCAAGAGGAACACCUGCGGCGAAGGCGGGUUGCUGGGCUGACACUGACGCUGAGGCGCGAAAGCUAGGGGAGCGAACGGG